rnacentral:rRNA from 1 species
CCUACGGGUGGCAGCAGUGGGGAAUAUUGCACAAUGGGCGCAAGCCUGAUGCAGCCAUGCCGCGUGUGUGAAGAAGGCCUUCGGGUUGUAAAGCACUUUCAGCGGGGAGGAAGGCGGUGAGGUUAAUAACCUCAUCGAUUGACGUUACCCGCAGAAGAAGCACCGGCUAACUCCGUGCCAGCAGCCGCGGUAAUACGGAGGGUGCAAGCGUUAGUCGGAAUUACUGGGCGUAAAGCGCACGCAGGCGGUCUGUCAAGUCGGAUGUUAAAUCCCCGGGCUCAACCUGGGAACUGCAUGCGAAACUGGCAGGCUAGAGUCUUGUAGAGGGGGGUAGAAUUCCAGGUGUAGCGGUGAAAUGCGUAGAGAUCUGGAGGAAUACCGGUGGCGAAGGCGGCCCCCUGGACAAAGACUGACGCUCAGGUGCGAAAGCGUGGGGAGCAAACAGGAUUAGAUACCCUAGUAGUC